CGCCAAUUUCUCGAUAGUUUGCUGCUAUGUAAAUAUCCGUGGAUGUCAUCUGAGCUGUGUGUUUAUUGCAGGUAUAUCCAGAGCACCUGUGCCACUUCUGGUGAAGGUCUCUAUGAGGGACUGGACUGGCUCUCCAACAACAUUGCUAGCAAGGUAGGGUCCUAACUCGUGUCUUGUAAGAAAUAAUGAUAAAAAGUCUUCGGGUUUUGUUGGAUGUAACUUUGUCUGCUGAAUCGUGGCAGGCUUAAGAGAUGGGUCGAUAUCUGCAGCUUUUCGGGCAGCAUUCUGCUUCAAUUUGGGAGACAAUGUUAGGUUGUUUGGUGUUCAAGGAUUCCUUAUCUUGUGAGGUUGUUAAGAGAAGAAUGUAUUUGUUUGGUUUUGUAAGAUAUUGUUACCGUAAUAGAAAGUGGCAAAUUAUCCCUAAUAGAUACUAAAAUAAUUCAUGAUUCACAGUUUUUAACAUGAUGUAUCUUGAUUCAAGCCAGGUUCUGUAAUUCAUGCUAUUGGGGCUUUUGUAGAGUAUGGUUCUUUCAUUGACCAGCCAUUGCUUGAUUCCGGCGGCUGCCAUUUUAAAUUACAAUAAUGCUGUAAAACUUUGACCGAAUGCAUGUACAUCUCCCGUGUUGACAGCUUGCCAGUCUUCAGACACGCAUGUAUUUACAUCUAGAUUCUGUUCAUGGCACCAGGAAAAGUAACAUGGAAAGAACCGACUUCUGAGAGAAAUUUCAGUUUGUGCCUCUCUACAUCAUGAGCCUAACUUUUCCUAUUUGGCCGGCCAGCUACUUGCGUUAUUAACGAUUCAAUGUUUUUUAUUUUAUUUUAUCAAUUCCAAUAGAUUUAAUAUCCAGCAUAACCCAAUCUAAAUCAAUUCAUAGUUAAUUUGUAUUUCUUCUAAAUUUCUAAUCUAAAAUUCAUGAUUUCUACUUGAAAUGCUAUUCAAAUUGCAAGAAAUUGCUGAAGUAGAUCUAGAAUCCCUUAUAAGAUAUUAUUCAAGUCUUCGAAUCUCAAUUUCUUCCUUGUUAUCGUGACUAUGCAACCCCUCUGCUUUGAUUAUUCUGCUUCUCUGAUUUUUAAUUAGGUGUUUAGAAUUUUCCUAUCUUCCCUUUUGUUUGCAGUUGCCGGAAGAGAAGAGAAUCCCCUCUUUUUUAGCUAAUUUACUCUUUUAUCUCUUCUUAAGCAUAAUAUGAUUUUUCCUUCCUUUUUUUUAUUUUUUUUUUAUUAUUUUCUUGAUGCCGCACUGUUUUUAUACCUCUUUCAAUUUUAUUUUUAAUAUAAAAAAAUAAUUUUUCUAAAUCUUAAUUUAAUUUUUUUUAUUAGUCAGAAGUUUCAAUUAACACUACUUACUCGUGAUCAAAAUCUUAAGGUUCUAUAAUCAUGGUUAGAGGUAUCAAUGAACAUUUUCCUUCCUUUCUUUCUUUUCUUUUUUUCUUACCAAUUGAACUCAAUUUAAUAUUAAAAAUCGACAGAAGUUAGCUACUAAGUAAUCAAAGAUAACACAAAAAAUAAUUAAUUAAAUUUAAAAUACAUUAAUAAAAAUAAAUAAUGCACACAAACACAAUGGUAAAAUUUAAUAUUUCUGCCAAAUUAAAUAAUAAAUGAAACUAGUAAUUAGAAAUAUAAUACAUCCACCGUCCCAAAAUAAAAGUACGGUCCAGAAACUGAAUCUCACUUUGACACUAACGUCAUUAACGGCGUUAACUCACGUCCAUGGCUAGAUUCUAUACGCACAUAGAUAAAUAUCCCCUUCUCUUUCUCAUUUCUUUCAUCUCCCAUCUCUGCACAGCUUCUUAGUAGAUCCUGCCCUCUCUCUUCGUCUUCGUUCUGUAAGUCGUCUCUCUCUAUAUAUAUAUUGUUGAUGUUAUUACUGUAGAUCUUGAUUGGUCUUAUUUUGGUUCUAAAGUUUGUUUUUUUGUUUUUGUUUUAAAGGGUUCAUAGAUCUGACCCGUGAUAGAUUAGAUCUGUUUUGGGAUGUUUGUUGAAUCUUUUGACGACCCUUAUGCUUGUUUUGUUAGUUGGUAUCAGCAUAAGGGAGAUCAUGAAUCUAUAGAACUUGGGUUUAGUAUGAAAUAAUGGAAGGGAAGUGAAGGAAUUGAAAGGAAUGGGGUUUUUAAUUUGUUAAAGUUUGGAUCUUUUGGAUCUGUUGAUUUUUCUAUGAUUUGUGAGAUGAUUUUUCUUUUAUUUAAGUCUGAAUUUGGAGUUUUUGAUUUACUGAUUUGUUUUUGAUGCAGGUGAGAAGGAAAGAUGGGGCUCUCAUUCACCAAACUUUUUAGCCGUCUGUUUGCCAAGAAAGAAAUGCGAAUUCUCAUGGUGGGUCUUGACGCUGCUGGUAAGACCACCAUCUUGUACAAGCUCAAGCUCGGAGAGAUUGUCACCACCAUUCCAACAAUUGGUAUGCUCUCGAAAUAUUACUGGUAUUUCGGGGUUGUUUUAGUGCUGAAUUUGUUUGGUUUGGGUAAGGGAUGCUUAUAUGUGGAUUUCAUUGUAGGGUUUAACGUGGAGACUGUGGAAUACAAGAACAUAAGCUUCACUGUCUGGGAUGUAGGUGGUCAGGACAAGGUAUGGAAACUUCUGCUAUACUGUGAUGAGAACUUUGAAUAUAAUGGUGGCAUUAGGAAAACUAUUUAAUUUUUAUCUUUUUGAGUUGCUGAUUCAUUAAUAUUUCAGCUUUAAUCAUUGACUUAACCUGACAUGAUGUGCGUUUAUGUUUUUACUUGGUCUCUUUGAUUGUAAAUUGUGCCAUGGAAGGUCUUGUGCUGAUUAGAUAUUGCUUCAUCAGAACAUAAAAAAAACAUAAGCUACAUGGAUUUAGCUACUUAGUGUUACAUUUUUUUUUUCUUUUUCUUAUGAGCGGAAGCUAUCCAUUGCAUGGCUGAAAUUCUACAAUUGUAAGCACGUGCACACACCUUUGCUGUCUAAGUUUGUCUUUGGUUAUAUAUAUGUGCUUAUGAAUGGUCUCGUGCUGAUUAGAUGCUUUUCUUUAGCAUGCAACAAAAACAUAACCUAUAAUGACUAGAGCCAUCUUAUAUUUCAUUGUUUGUUGCUGUGAGUGGUUGAAGUUUUCGCUGAUGCUUGUGCUUAUGGACGGUCUUAUGCUGGUUAGUUGGUCCUCCACCAGCACAUAACAUAUUCAUAAGCUACACUACUGAAGCCACCUUGUCUUUCAGUUUUUUCCUUUAUCUUUGUGAGGAAAGGACAUCCCAGCUGUGGCGUGCAUUAUCAUAAACUAUAUAGCAUUAUCAUAAACUAUAUAAUAGCAAUCAUAAAUGGGUAUGCUUAUAUAUUACUCUUAUUCAUUUAUAAGCAACAAAAAUCAAUAUGCUUGUCAUGAACGAAUUCAUAAGCUACAUUACUAAAGCCACCUUGUCUCAAUUUUUCCUUUGCCUUUCUGAGAGUAUCUGGUCUUCACUUUGCACAAUCACUAAUGAUAGUGCUUAAAUGUUUCCCUAUGCAUUUAUUUGUGUUUGCACAGACCGUAAUAGCAUCCUUACAGAUGUUUAAGAAAUUGUUUGAUGUUGAAUAAUCGAGUUGCCAGUCUCUCUGUCAUGGUUUGGAAGUCCUAAGCUAUUUCUGUGUUUGUUGUCUUGUCUUUUAUGCUGAUCAAAUAAGGAUUUAAUUUUAGCUCUAGUUGUUGGAAGCAUGAACUUAGAAUUGCCAGUUUAUGAACAGGGUCACCUACUCAACUUCUGCUGUCAGAACUCAGAAUACAAUAUCUUGUAUUCAUAUCUCAUGUUUGGUAUAAGGAUUAUUUUUUCUCAAAUUGCUUUUCUAAUUUGCACAGAUCCGACCAUUGUGGAGGCAUUAUUUCCAAAACACUCAAGGGCUCAUCUUUGUGGUUGAUAGCAAUGAUCGUGACCGUGUGGUUGAAGCU
rnacentral:lncRNA from 1 species